GCAGCAGUGGGGAAUCUUGGACAAUGGGCGCAAGCCUGAUCCAGCCAUGCCGCGUGAGUGAUGAAGGCCUUAGGGUCGUAAAGCUCUUUCGCCAGAGAUGAUAAUGACAGUAUCUGGUAAAGAAACCCCGGCUAACUCCGUGCCAGCAGCCGCGGUAAUACGGAGGGGGUUAGCGUUGUUCGGAAUUACUGGGCGUAAAGCGUACGUAGGCGGAUUAGUCAGUUAGAGGUGAAAUCCCGGGGCUCAACCCCGGAACUGCCUUUAAUACUGCUAGUCUUGAGUUCGAGAGAGGUGAGUGGAAUUCCGAGUGUAGAGGUGAAAUUCGUAGAUAUUCGGAGGAACACCAGUGGCGAAGGCGGCUCACUGGCUCGAUACUGACGCUGAGGUACGAAAGUGUGGGGAGCAAACAGGAUUAGAUACCCUGGUAGUCCACACCGUAAACGAUGAAUGCCAGUCGUCGGGUAGCAUGCUAUUCGGUGACACACCUAACGGAUUAAGCAUUCCGCCUGGGGAGUACGGUCGCAAGAUUAAAACUCAAAG
rnacentral:rRNA from 1 species